rnacentral:rRNA from 1 species
UACGAACUGUGCGAACGUUAUUCGGAAUCACUGGGCUUAAAGGGCGCGUAGGCGGGCGGCCGCGUCCGGGGUGAAAUCCCGCCGCUCAACGGCGGAACGGCCUCGGAUACGGGCGGCCUCGAGGGGGGUAGGGGCGUGCGGAACUCUGGGUGGAGCGGUGAAAUGCGUUGAUAUCCAGAGGAACUCCGGUGGCGAAGGCGGCACGCUGGACCCCUUCUGACGCUGAGGCGCGAAAGCCAGGGGAGCGAACGGG